rnacentral:rRNA from 1 species
CGCGUAGGUAACCUGCCUGGUAGCGGGGGAUAACUAUUGGAAACGAUAGCUAAUACCGCAUAAUAGUAGAUGUUGCAUGACAUUUGCUUAAAAGGUGCAAUUGCAUCACUACCAGAUGGACCUGCGUUGUAUUAGCUAGUUGGUGGGGUAACGGCUCACCAAGGCGACGAUACAUAGCCGACCUGAGAGGGUGAUCGGCCACACUGGGACUGAGACACGGCCCAG